AGCUUUUGAGUUAAAUAUAUUAUAAUAUUAGUUAUUUAUUUAAAGUGUUGUAAAACUUUAUUAAAAAAUAUAUUUAGGGGUGAUAGGCUUUUCAAAAACUAAGAUAUCUUGAAUCUAAUUAAAAGUAUAUAGUACAUUCAACACGACUAUUAAGUGAUUAGGCUAAAUAGAAAUAUUAACUUUUUUUAGAUUUUUUUUAUUAUAAUUUAAUAACUAAAUUUUAUUUAUAAAAUAUUAUACAUAUAUAAAAAUUUAUAAGGAGUAAUUAGAUAAAUUUAAGUUUUAUAAUAAUUGAAAUAAUGUUAAUAUUAGUAUAUGUUUAAUAUUUAUUUGAUGAACUCGGCAAAAAUGUAUUUCUCAACUGUUUAUCAAAAACAUAACUAUGUGUAUUUAAUACAUAGCGGUUUCUGCUCAA
rnacentral:rRNA from 1 species